rnacentral:rRNA from 1 species
AUUGAACGCUGGCGGCAUGCCUUACACAUGCAAGUCGAACGGCAGCACGGGAGCAAUCCUGGUGGCGAGUGGCGAACGGGUGAGUAAUAUAUCGGAACGUGCCCAGUCGUGGGGGAUAACGUAGCGAAAGCUACGCUAAUACCGCAUACGAUCUAUGGAUGAAAGCGGGGGAUCGCAAGACCUCGCGCGAUUGGAGCGGCCGAUAUCAGAUUAGGUAGUUGGUGAGGUAAAGGCUCACCAAGCCGACGAUCUGUAGCUGGUCUGAGAGGACGACCAGCCACACUGGGACUGAGACACGGCCCAGACUCCUACGGAGGCAGCAGUGGGGAAUUUUGGGACAAUGGGCGCAAGCCUGAUCCAGCAAUGCCGCGUGCAGGAUGAAGGCCUCGGUUGUAACGU